rnacentral:rRNA from 1 species
AUUGAACGCUGGCGGCAGGCUUAACACAUGCAAGUCGAGCGAGCGGCGGACGGGUGAGUAAUGUCUGGGAAACUGCCUGAUGGAGGGGGAUAACUACUGGAAACGGUAGCUAAUACCGCAUACCAUCGGAUGUGCCCAUAUGGGAUUAGCUAGUGGGUGGGGUAAUGGCUCACCUAGGCGACGAUCCCUAGCUGGUCUGAGAGGAUGACCAGCCACACUGGAACGGAGACACGGCCCAGACUCCUACGGGAGGCAGCAGGGGGGAAUAUUGCACAAUGGGCGCAAGCCUGAUGCAGCCAUGCCGCGUGUGUGAAGAAGGCCUUCGGGUUGUAAAGCACUUCCAGCGAAGAGGCGGUACCCGCAGAAGAAGCACCGGCUAACUCCGUGCCAGCCGCCGCGGUAAUAC